GGGCCGUUAGCUCAGUUGGCAGAGCACCUGACUUUUAAUCAGGGUGUCGCAGGUUCGAGCCCUGCACGGCUCACCA
rnacentral:tRNA from 1 species